CGAAUUUUUAUUUUUUUUUAUUUUUUUUUCUCUUUGAGGCGAUUUUCGCAUAUAGAGAUAAAAAAAAAUAUCACCUUCUCUCGUACUGGAGUUUCAUAGCUUUGUUCGAAGUGUUCGCGCAUACACGGCACGAACGUGUUUUUUUUUUUCUUUGAAUAAAAAAUCACAUUUUUGUCUCGUGUCGUGACGUUGAAGCGACCUCAGAGUAGGCGAGAUUACCCGCUGAAUUUAAGCAUAUUACUAAGCGGAGGAAAAGAAACUAACAAGGAUUUCCUUAGGAGGAUGGGCCGCGCAACUAUGCGGCCUCGCACUCCCGGGGCGUCUCGUUCUCAUUGCGAGGAGAGGCGCACCUAGAGCGUACACGUUGGGACCCGAAAGAUGGCGUUGGUUGCUUAAGACAGCAGGACGGUGGCCAUGGAAGUCGGAAUCCGCUAAGGAGUGUGUAACAACUCACCUGCCGAAGCAACUAGCCCUGAAAAUGGAUGGCGCUGAAGCGUCGCGCCUAUACUCCGCCGUCAGUGGCAAGUGGGAAGGCACGCGAGUCUCGUUUUCCCCUCAUGGGUUCGGGACCGUCCUUCAUGAAGCUCUGACGAGUAGGAGGGUCGCGGCGGUGUGCGCAGAAGGGUCUGGGCGUGAGCCUGCCUGGAGCCGCCGUCGGUGCAGAUCUUGGUGGUAGUAGCAAAUACUCCAGCGAGGCCCUGGAGGACUGACGUGGAGAAGGGGUUUGGAACGCGAAGAGCACCGCAGUUGCGGCGGUGUCCGGAUCUUCCCCUCGGACCUUGAAAAUCCAGGAGAGGGCCACGUGGAGGUGUCGCGCCGGUUCGUACCCAUAUCCGCAGCAGGUCUCCAAGGUAAAGAGCCUCUAGUCGAUAGAUUAAUGUAGGUAAGGGAAGUCGGCAAAUUGGAUCCGUAACUUCGGAAUAAGGAUUGGCUCUGAGGAGCGGGGCGUGUCGGGCUUGGUCGGGAAGCGGGUUUGGCUGACGUGCCGGGCCUGGGCGAGCUGAACGGGACGCGGCGUAUCUCUCUCUCGGGGGGGAUAUCGUCGCGCACCCCGGAUCCGAGCUCGGUCCCGUGCCUUGGCCUCCCGCGGAUCUUCCUUGCUGCGAGGCUUCCGUGGCGGUUUUACCGUCGCGGUCGUUCUCUUCGGCCGCCAUUCAACGCUCAGCUCAGAACUGGCAC
rnacentral:misc_RNA from 1 species